rnacentral:rRNA from 1 species
CCUUGUUGGUGAGGUAACGGCUCACCAAGGCUACGACGGAUAGCGGGCGUGAGAGCGUGGCCCGCCUCAUCGGGACUGAGACACUGCCCGGACACCUACGGGUGGCUGCAGUAACGAAUAUUGGGCAAUGGGCGCAAGCCUGACCCAGCAAUGCCGCGUGCAGGAGGAAGCCCCUCGGGGUGUAAACUGCUGUCAGGGUUCCGCAAGCAACGAGGGUUAAUAGCCCUCUGCGUUGAGCAGACCCAAAAGGAAGCCUCGGCUAACUCUGUGCCAGCAGCCGCGGUAAGACAGAGGAGGCAAGCGUUGUUCGGAAUUAUUGGGCUUAAAGAGGGUGUAGGCGGCUUGGCAAGUGUCCUGUGAAAUCCCACGGCUCAACCGUGGAACUGCAGGGCAAACUGCCUGGCUUGAGGUCGGUAGAGGUGCCCGGAACUCUAGGUGGAGCGGUGAAAUGCGUAGAUAUCUAGAGGAAAGCCAGUGGCGAAAGCGAGGCACUGGACCGAUUCUGACGCUGAGACCCGAAAGCGUGGGGAGCAAACAGGAUUAGAUACCCUGGUAGUCCACGCCGUAAACGAUGCACACUAGGUGGCGGAUUCUCUGACGUCUUCGCCGCCGAAGCGAAAGUGAUAAGUGUGCCGCCUGGGGAGUACGGCCGCAAGGCUAAAACUCAAAGGAAUUGACGGGGGCUCACACAAGCGGUGGAGCAUGUGGCUUAAUUCGAAGCAACGCGAAGAACCUUACCCAGGUUUGACAUGCUUGGAUGCACUUCCGGGAUAACCAGGAGUGUUGCCCUUCGGGGUGAAACUUGCACAGGUGUUGCACGGCUGUCGUCAGCUCGUGCUGUGAAGUGUCGGGUUAAGUCCCUUAACGAGCGAAACCCCUAUCGUCAGUUGCCAGCGCGUAAUGGCGGGGACUCUGGCGAGACUGCCGGCGUUAAGCCGGAGGAAGGUGGGGAUGACGUCAAGUCAUCGUGGCCCUUAUGCCUGGGGAUGCACACGUGCUACAAUGGUCGGGACAGAGGGAUGCGAGGCCGCGAGGCGGAGCAAAUCCCAAAAACCUGGCCCCAGUUCGGAUUGGAGGCUGAAAUUCGCCUCCAUGAAGCCGGAAUCGCUAGUAAUCGCGUAUCAGCUACGACGCGGUGAAUGUGUUCCUGAGCCUUGUACACACCGCCCGUCAAGUCAUGGAAGCUGGUAGUACCCGAAGUCCGCUUAGCUAACCGCAA